AUUGAACGCUGGCGGCGUGCCUAAUACAUGCAAGUCGAACGGGGAAAGCUUUCGGGUGAGUACUAGUGGCGCACGGGUGAGUAACGCGUGGAUAAUCUGCCUUAGAGUGGGGGAUAACUAGUCGAAAGAUUAGCUAAUACCGCAUAAGACCACAAGAACUGCGGUUCAAGGGGUCAAAGGUUUUUCGCUCUAAGAUGAGUCCGCGUAAGAUUAGCUAGUUGGUAGGGUAACGGCCUACCAAGGCGACGAUCUUUAACUGGUCUGAGAGGAUGAUCAGUCACACUGGAACUGAGACACGGUCCAGACUCCUACGGGAGGCAGCAGUAGGGAAUAUUGCACAAUGGAGGAAACUCUGAUGCAGCGACGCCGCGUGAGUGAUGAAGGCCUUCGGGUCGUAAAGCUCUGUCGCAGGGGAAUAACACAAUGAAGGUACCCUGUAAGAAAGGAUCGGCUAACUUCGUGCCAGCAGCCGCCGUAA
rnacentral:rRNA from 1 species